rnacentral:misc_RNA from 1 species
GUGAGUCAUCGAAUCUUUGAACGCACCUUGCGCUCCUUGGUAUUCCGAGGAGCAUGCCUGUUUGAGUGUCUUGAAGUCAUCAACCCCUCCCGUUUCGUGCGGUGAGGUGCGUUGGAGAUGGGGGCCUGCGGUCGCGAGCCCGCUCCCCUCAAAUGCUUCGGUUGGGCCUGCGGGUCGAACUCGGUUGGGCGUUGUAACAACCUCGCUCUCCUCCGAGAUGUUCCCGUCUUUUCGUGCCCCUCCACGACCGCCUGAAGAGCGGCGGUCAAAAGCAACUUUGAAAUCUGACCUCAAAUCAGGUAGGACUACCCGCUGAACUUAAGCAUAUCAAUAAGCGGAGGA